CCUACGGGUGGCUGCAGUAAGGAAUAUUGGUCAAUGGACGAAAGUCUGAACCAGCCAUGCCGCGUGAAGGAUGAAGGUCCUCUGGAUUGUAAACUUCUUUUAUCUGGGACGAAAAAAGGGAAUUCUUUCUCACUUGACGGUACCAGAAGAAUAAGCACCGGCUAACUCCGUGCCAGCAGCCGCGGUAAUACGGAGGGUGCAGGCGUUACCGGGAUUCAAUGGGUUUAAGGGGUGCAUAGAUGGCAGUGUAGAAAUCUCCGGGCUUAACCCGGAAACUGCCAUUGAUACUAUCUGUCUUGAAUACUCUGGAGGUAAGCGGAAUAUGUCAGGUAGCGGUGAAAUGCUUAGAUAUGACAUAGAACACCGAUUGCGAAGGCAGCUUACUACGGAGUCAGUGACACUGAGGCACGAAAGCGUGGGGAUCAAACAGGAUUAGAUACCCUUGUAGUC
rnacentral:rRNA from 1 species